UACGAAGGGGGCUAGCGUUGCUCGGAAUCACUGGGCGUAAAGGGUGCGUAGGCGGGUCUUUAAGUCAGAGGUGAAAUCCUGGAGCUCAACUCCAGAACUGCCUUUGAUACUGAGGAUCUUGAGUUCGGGAGAGGUGAGUGGAACUGCGAGUGUAGAGGUGAAAUUCGUAGAUAUUCGCAAGAACACCAGUGGCGAAGGCGGCUCACUGGCCCGAUACUGACGCUGAGGCGCGAAAGCGUGGGGAGCAA
rnacentral:rRNA from 1 species